UAUAUAAUAAGCUAAUUUAAGCUUAUAGGCUCAUACCCUAUCGAUAAAUUUUUUAAAAUUUUUAUAUAA
rnacentral:tRNA from 1 species